CAGGUAGUGUGUGUCGGCUUCUAAAUAAGCAGCACACUCACCGUCCCCCUUCAGGACGGGAGGCAAGGCUGCAGAGUGUGAAAUCAGACUAAUACAGUGGCGUAGGGCUGAGCAGGAGCGGUGGGGAAGCUCCUGCAUGACUUACACAGACUCAAGGUUUAGGGGACAAGUACCAGCUGAAGAAAUAACAGGGGAUUGGACAUAAGGGGGAGAAAGGAAAAAAAAAAGGCAGUAAGGAUUGUGGAAGCCAACAACACUUCUCCUGUUGCACAUUUGGCAAUGGUGGCAUCCUGAUUUACUCAUCUUGUGACCUGGGAGUCUCUAAACCCCAAAACAUAUAGCUUUGGAAAACCCUGGAAACACCUGGAAAUCUAGGAGUACAUUUACCAAAACCACUUCAAGUGGCCAGGCACUGGAUCAAUAGCUUUAGAAUUUUCUUUGCUGUUUUUGUAUAUGCAAAGACGGCCUGAAUUUUAGCAAUAGCUGCUGGUCAUCCACCUCUGCUUCGACAAACCUGCUGUGACCAAGAGGGCGUGACCUUUCUACCUGCUGACUUCAAACGGACACUUGAAAAGGAACACAGUCAGGGUGGCUUCUCUGUGUUGGAAACUCAGACCAGAAACCCCAUCAGGUAAGACUGUGAAGUCCCGCUUUAUCCUGCUGUCCAAACUGAGUUUUUUACCUUUGUAAGGGCUUUGAAGCUAACGUGUCGCCCAGAUGCUUAAUUUGCCUUCAGAUUUGGUGUAAAGGAAAGCCUGACUGACAAAUGGCCCAUUUUCAUGCUUUUGUGCUUGUGUGUUCCUUUCAGAGGUUGUCUAUAUGUUGGUUGGGGUUGCAUACUCCUAGAGGCUCGUUCUGAAUUUUUCGUACUUCAGACAUACAGUACAGACUAAAAGUUUGGACACACCUUCUCAUUCAAUUGGCCUGUACUGUAUGUCUGUCACUAUCUCAAAUUUAGUAUUAAUGACUCGGUAGAAGGCAGACGGCAAACCUAAUAUGAUAUCAUUUAGUGCUUCAACAGUUUUUGAGUCCACAGUUAUUGGGGUAGUUGAUCUGUAUGCACAAAAAAACAAAACAAAUAAUUGCAUCUAGAUGCCUGAAAUGGGAAUUUUCUUUGUCAGUCUUGUAGUAUUUCUUAAAUACCAUUUUGCAUUUUUUGUUGAAUUAUUCUUGUGUAUUUUAGACAUAAAUACAUCAAUAUAUUGGCGAUAAUGACAUGUUUAUUAAUGA